UCAAGAUAAUGGUUAAACAAAACAGGUU
rnacentral:sRNA from 1 species